rnacentral:lncRNA from 1 species
AUAGCUCUAAAAUUUUCUCAAGAAAAUGGCUAAAAUUUGUUGAGUUGUCCCACAUCGGAGGGAUUUGAAGUCCUUGGUCUCCUUAUAUGGCUUGGGCAAUCCUCACCUCAUAAGCUAGUUUUUGGGAUUGAGUUAUGCCCAAGGUCCAUUCUUAUCAUGGUAUCAGAACCAGGCCCAUCCCAAUUAUUGUUACCGAUGUUGGGCCCCCAUUUAUAUUGUCCACGCUCCAGAGAUCUGGGGGUGAGGGGGGUGUUGAGUUGUCCCACAUCGGAGGGAUUUGAGGUCUUUGGUCUUCUUAUAUGGCUUGGGCAAUCCUCACCUCAUGAGCUAGCUUUUGGGGUUGAGUUAGGCCCAAGGUCCAUUCUUAUCAAAAUUCUCAAAUCUUCUCAUUUUCAUGUACAUUUUAUUUUCUUUCUUCUUUCCUUUAAUUUUCUCAGAUUCUUCAGUUGAUGUUUUAUAUAUGGUGGUUGCUCACAAAUAAAAUAUUCACCAAACUUAUAGCAAUAUAAGUUGUUAUUUCAACCGUUAGAUUAUUUUGUUUUAUCAAACGAUAUAAAUUUC